UACGAACCGAGCGAACGUUGUUCGGAAUCACUGGGCUUAAAGGGCGCGUAGGCGGGCCGCCGCGUCCGGGGUGAAAUCCUCCCGCUCAACGGGAGAACGGCCUCGGAUACGGGCGGCCUGGAGGGGGGUAGGGGCGUGCGGAACUGUGGGUGGAGCGGUGAAAUGCGUUGAUAUCCACAGGAACUCCGGUGGCGAAGGCGGCACGCUGGACCCCACCUGACGCUGAGGCGCGAAAGCCAGGGGAGCGAACGGG
rnacentral:rRNA from 1 species